AUUGAACGCUGGCGGCAGGCCUAACACAUGCAAGUCGAACGGUAACAGGAAACAGCUUGCUGUUUCGCUGACGAGUGGCGGACGGGUGAGUAAUGUCUGGGAAACUGCCUGAUGGAGGGGGAUAACUACUGGAAACGGUAGCUAAUACCGCAUAACGUCGCAAGACCAAAGAGGGGGACCUUCGGGCCUCUUGCCAUCGGAUGUGCCCAGAUGGGAUUAGCUAGUAGGUGGGGUAACGGCUCACCUAGGCGACGAUCCCUAGCUGGUCUGAGAGGAUGACCAGCCACACUGGAACUGAGACACGGUCCAGACUCCUACGGGGGGCAGCAGUGGGGAAUAUUGCACAAUGGGCGCAAGCCUGAUGCAGCCAUGCCGCGUGUAUGAAGAAGGCCUUCGGGUUGUAAAGUACUUUCAGCGGGGAUGAAGGGAGUAAAGUUAAUACCUUUGCUCAUUGACGUUACCCGCAGAAGAAGCACCGGCUAACUCCGUG
rnacentral:rRNA from 1 species